AUAGAACCCAAACUGUGGAGGAAUCCCCUCAUAUUGUGUUUUCCGAAAAUAAUGCUCGCUUGGCGAGAAAGGACUCUUGUUCUGAUCUUGCAGGUAUUUUAAAUAGUUUAAAAGACAAAGUACAAGAGGAAACUCCUAAGGAAAUUCAAGAUGAAAUCUUGGACAAUCAACGGAGGAAACGCCACAAUUGGAGAAAGAAACGAAAAUGCCUAACGAGUGGAGGACAAUCAAAGAUCACCCUCUCGAACAGGUAAUUGGCG
rnacentral:lncRNA from 1 species